GCUCACAUUCUCUUGCUGCUUCCACCACUUGCUCUUUGUGACUGUUAAGGUCCCCUGUCAUGCAGGGUGAAUGCUAGAACCAUGUGUUUCACUCUUCAUGGAGGACACUGAGGUGACUGCCUGAUUUUAAGAUUUGUGUGCUGGGCUACAGACACUGAUGCUCUGCACUGGAAUGUUCCUUUCUUCCUGUGUCACUGUGCUGUGGGGAGUAGUGAACGCUCUUGCAAAGUAGGCUUAUAUUUACUACAUAUGUCCAUUGUGUAAUUGUGCUGUGGAAUGUACAUGGUAACUAAUAUGUACCAUUUCUUUUAAAAGGGACCAGGCCAGCCACUGUUUUACUGUUAGUUUUUGGGUUUGUUUGUUUGCUUUCAUUUUGUUUGUCUUUUUGUUUGUUUGCUGUCUCUCUAUAACUGCU